rnacentral:rRNA from 1 species
UACGUAGGGGGCAAGCGUUAUCCGGAAUUACUGGGUGUAAGGGGAGCGUAGACGGUAAUGUAAGUCUGGAGUGAAAGGCGGGGGCCCAACCCCCGGACUGCUCUGGAAACUAUGUUACUAGAGUGCAGGAGUGGUAAGCGGAAUUCCUAGUGUAGCGGUGAAAUGCGUAGAUAUUAGGAGGAACACCAGUGGCGAAGGCGGCUUACUGGACUGUAACUGACGUUGAGGCUCGAAAGCGUGGGGAGCAAACAGG